GAUGAACGCUGGCGGCGUGCUUAACACAUGCAAGUCGAACGAAGCACUUUAUUUGAUUUCCUUCGGGACUGAUUAUUUUGUGACUGAGUGGCGGACGGGUGAGUAACGCGUGGGUAACCUGCCUUGUACAGGGGGAUAACAGUUGGAAACGGCUGCUAAUACCGCAUAAGCGCACGGCAUCGCAUGAUGCAGUGUGAAAAACUCCGGUGGUAUAAGAUGGACCCGCGUUGGAUUAGCUAGUUGGUGAGGUAACGGCCCACCAAGGCGACGAUCCAUAGCCGACCUGGGAGGGUGACCGGCCACAUUGGGACUGAGACACGGCCCAAACUCCUACGGGAGGCAGCAGUGGGGAAUAUUGCACAAUGGGCGAAAGCCUGAUGCAGCGACGCCGCGUGAGCGAAGAAGUAUUUCGGUAUGUAAAGCUCUAUCAGCAGGGAAGAUAAUGACGGUACCUGACUAAGAAGCACCGGCUAAAUACGU
rnacentral:rRNA from 1 species